UACGGGAGGCAGCAGUGGGGAAUUUUGGACAAUGGGCGAAAGCCUGAUCCAGCAAUGCCGCGUGUGGGAAGAAGGCCUUCGGGUUGUAAACCACUUUUGUACGGAACGAAACGGUUCGCUUUAAUACAGUGGGCUAAUGACGGUACCGUAAGAAUAAGCACCGGCUAACUACGUGCCAGCAGCCGCGGUAAUACGUAGGGUGCGAGCGUUAAUCGGAAUUACUGGGCGUAAAGCGUGCGCAGGCGGUUAUAUAAGACAGUUGUGAAAUCCCCGGGCUCAACCUGGGAAUUGCAUCUGUGACUGUAUAGCUAGAGUACGGUAGAGGGGGAUGGAAUUCCGCGUGUAGCAGUGAAAUGCGUAGAUAUGCGGAGGAACACCGAUGGCGAAGGCAAUCCCCUGGACCUGUACUGACGCUCAUGCACGAAAGCGUGGGGAGCAAACAGGAUUAGAUACCCUGGUAGUCCACGCCCUAAACGAUGUCAACUGGUUGUUGGGUGCAUUAGUACUCAGUAACGAAGCUAACGCGUAAGU
rnacentral:rRNA from 1 species